AGUGAACACUGGCGGUAGGCCUAACACAUGCGAGUCGAACGGCAGCACAGUAAGAGCUUGCUCUUACGGGUGGCGAGUGGCGGACGGGUGAGGAAUACAUCGGAAUCUACUUUUUCGUGGGGGAUAACGUAGGGAAACUUACGCUAAUACCGCAUACGACCUACGGGUGAAAGCAGGGGAUCUUCGGACCUUGCGCGAUUGAAUGAGCCGAUGUCGGAUUAGCUAGUUGGCGGGGUAAAGGCCCACCAAGGCGACGAUCCGUAGCUGGUCUGAGAGGAUGAUCAGCCACACUGGAACUGAGACACGGUCCAGACUCCUACGGGAGGCAGCAGUGGGGAAUAUUGGACAAUGGGCGCAAGCCUGAUCCAGCCAUACCGCGUGGGUGAAGAAGGCCUUCGGGUUGUAAAGCCCUUUUGUUGGGAAAGAAAAGCAGCAGGUUAAUACCCCGCUGUUCUGACGGUACCCAAAGAAUAAGCACCAGCUAACUUCGUG
rnacentral:rRNA from 1 species